rnacentral:rRNA from 1 species
UACGUAGGGGGCAAGCGUUGUCCGGAUUUAUUGGGCGUAAAGAGCGUGUAGGCGGCCGCACAGGUCUGUUGUGAAAACUGGAGGCUUAACCUUCAGACGUCGAUGGAAACCGUGCGGCUAGAGUCCGGAAGAGGAGAAUGGAAUUCCUGGUGUAGCGGUGAAAUGCGCAGAUAUCAGGAGGAACACCGGUGGCGAAGGCGGUUCUCUGGGCAUGACCUGACGCUGAGGAGCGAAAGUGUGGGGAGCGAACAGG